UGACAAGCAGUAUCUCAUGUUGGAGGUCUUGUUCACCUGAUGUUGUAAAAUGAAGUUUAUACACCUAAACGUACGAGGAGAUCUGCAGACAAGAGGUAGAAGAGAAAGCCCAGAAACGGCUCUGGUUGGACAUCGGUGCUGAGGCCACUGGACCUCUUGACUUCUGGAUCUUUUCCAUGCACACUUCCUGAGGAAGGAAUCCCUGUGGACAAACCUGCAGCACCAGCAAAACAAAAGGACCAAGACUAAAGCCAGGGGCAGGAGAACAAAGAGGGCCGUCAGCCGGUGGGACCUGCACACCUCUGUA